GAGGACACAACGGAUACAACAGGCAGACUCUCAGUUCUGCACUGAGGCACUGAGCACAGACAACACACACAUGUGCAUAGCCUCCUUCACUUCAGUGCGGCCUGGAAUCGAGGCUAGCAUGCACAUAGCGUGGUUGAGGAGGGCGUGACCAGACUAAUAUCUCCUCUCUGUCCUAGAUCCUCUCCAGCCUGGGUCCCUUUUUGUACUGUCUACAGACGUAUACAUGUUCGAGAACCAGACUGUUUGAGACACUUGUCUGAACAUGCAGUUGGUUGUAAAGGUGGUUCCUUCUGACAUAGCCUGGCAUUGGCAGAAUCUGAACACUGCUGAUUGUCUUGAACGACUACCUUCGUCAUCGUAUGGAGCCUUGAAGAAAAGUUAUCAUGGUCGAAAGGGACAAUCAUCAAGCUCAUUCGUCGAGACACCCACAAAAGAAGUAUCUACAAAUCUCCCAAAAACAAUAAUGGAGAAACAUGUUUCCUUCCGUACCAAGAAACCUGUUAGUGUUAGUGGAGUGAUUGGUUCUGCAGCAGGUCAGGGGGCUCUAUCAAAGCGAUCUGUUACUACCCCAGUGUCCUGUACUACAUGUAUCCCUGAAUGUCUGGUGGUUAUGUUCUUACUAUCGCUCCUCAUCAUCCUUGUCAUCAGAAUGUGCACAACUUGUACAUUUUGCGAUUCUGAAAGUUGAAAAGAGAAAUGAUGCGAUUGAAAAGGGUGUGCUGUCGGACCGUCACUUAGAUUUUAUCUCCAUACAAGUUGAUCGUCGAUCCAAGCUGUUUACAUGGAAGGAGCAUGGAUUCCAAAUUAGCAUCCCUGAUAAUUCGAUUGUCCCUUACACUACAUGUGCGCUAUAUAUAUACAGCAGUACCUCUGGAUCGUACAAGUUUCCUUAUAAGAAUGAGCUAGUUAGCCCUGUUUUCUGGAUUAAUUCCAGCCCGUCUUGCACCUUUUUAAAGUGUUUAACAAUUAAUUUACAACACUGUGCAAAUUUAAAGUUGAACAACAAACUCACAUUUGUUCGAGCUGAUUCGGAUAUUACAAACUGGUUUAAGGAAGUUCCUAGCCUCGGACAUUUCUCAGAAAAAAGUCUCUAUGGAUCACUUGAGUUAAGCCAUUUUAGUGGCUAUGCAAUUACUUUCAUUGAUCGAUCUGCAUGUGAAGCUGUUGACCGGCUGUACAGUGCUAGUCUGUUCUAUUUGGGCCGAGCUCUGGGAGACUGGGUAGUUCACCUCGUUAUCACUUGGGACACUGAAGUACAUAUCAGAGUAUGUUACCAUGCAUGCAUGCAUUGUAUUCAUGGAUUGUCAAUGCUACCUGGUUUCAUUGUUUAGAAUAUGUCAAGCUGUACUAUCAAGAAGUGAAACACGGUGGAGAGUAUCUUCACAUUUUAAGUGGCCCCUUUAUUGCAAUCGAGCUCGUUGAUGAUACGUUAAAACUCUACAUCCCAUUGGACGGAGUUUCAAUUGAUGGAUGGAGCAUCACACCUCUCACAGUA